rnacentral:lncRNA from 1 species
GUCGUUCCUCCGCGUUACAGAGCUACAGCGGUCUCCGGGUGGCGAAGUGCGGAGACGGGGUUUUGGAGACGGUGGAUGGAGGAGGGGGAGGGAAAGCUGCCAACUUUGGAUACCAACCCCGUACACCCACCGAAGGGGAUGUCCCACUUUUUCCAGCGCUGGGAGCAAAAAGAUAACAGUGAGCGAGGUUGAAAAAUUAUAAAGUAUCCCAGGACAGUGCUCUGUAACCAGCCCAUAGUAGCUACUGCUAUUUUACCAGCUACUGUAUCUUUCCUUCUUUGAUUUCCAGCACCUGACAGUGAAAAGAGCAAUUUGAAGAAAAACAAAAUUUAUCUUCAAUGUGAAAAGCAAUUUAUAAAAAUCCGAAUACUUGCCAGGAGCAACUUGACAAAAAAGACAAAGGUGGUAGAAGAAAUGUAACCAGCCCACAAUUCCAAUGUUGAUAACAGAUGAGCUCCCUUUCAAGGUGACUGACAUUUACACAAGUACACAGAGCAAGAAGAAGGUCUGAGUGAACUGCCAAGCAUUUUAACUUCUCCUGAGACCAAGUACAUCAACAGUUCUCUUGGAAAAGAACAACUGAUUUGGGAGUCUAGCAGACUGCCAGCUGCAAGACAUUCAUCCAGCAUCAGGAACACAAUGGGCCUUCAUUUGCCUGCCUUUCUGAGGGCACCAAUCAAAAGGAGUCUACUCCUAUGUAAAUCUUCUGCAGGUUGUGCAGUGGACUUCACCUAGUCUCCCAUCUCCAGCUAAUUUGGCCAAGAAUAGUCACCUGGCGCAAGGUGGGGAGGGAGCUCUCAAUUGGCCAGCAACUUCUGACGUGUGACCUGACUGAACAAUGAGAGGCUCGAGUGAAAUUACCAGCUGGUAGUAGGACAGAGGAUAUAGAUACAUGGAAUGGAGCUGAGCCAAAUUAAUGACAAAGGACUAGACAAGAAUGACUGUUGAUGAUCACCUAUGCUGAGAUCACAAAGCUGCCCCGAGUCCAGAAGCAGGUUCACUGAGGGAGGCUCAACCAUGUUACCAAUCUUGUUUGAGAUUAAUGUUCCUUGUUGUAAACCUCAAGUCUGUUUCUUGCAAUCAAACCAUUCUAAAUUGAAACAACUACUUAGAAAGUGUUUCUAUGGGUUCAGUGGGACAUUUCAACCAAAUGAAAUAUGAUAAUGAUCUUAAAUGAACUAACAAUAGUGUUGCAGAAAUAAAAUACAAAUACCAGAAAGAUA